GGUUUAUCCGGUUUCUGGGGAACUGAAAGUUUUAUCUUGGCUUUUAAGCUAGUUUACUGUUUUAUUUAUAUACGGGUAAUUGCUGAUUAUUUUUUUUUGACAAGUUUUUUAUACUAGUAGUAUUUUAUUUUAAAAAUUGGAUGUUUUCAGAUUUAGGAAUUUAGUUUUUCUUCAAACAAAGUUUGUGCCAGCAGUAGCGGUUAUACAGACUGGUCUAAUUAGCUUUUUCGGGAUUAAUUAAAAUUACUGUUUUGAAAUUGUGAGGGGCAUUUUUAAGUGAAAUUUAAUUGUUUUUUAUUUUUAUUUAUCUUAUUUGACUUUAAGAAGUUUUGUAAUAAACUAGGAUUAGAUACCCUAUUAUUAAAAGUGUUAUUUCUUUCCUGGAUUAUUGUUAGUUAUGUUCUAUAAAAUCAAAAGAUUUGGCGGUAUUUUAGUCUGUUCAGAGGAACCUGUUUUUUAAUCGAUAAUCCACGAUGAUUUUUACUUUUGUUUUAAAUUUAUAUAUCGUCGUUUAUAAAAAUUUUAUUAGAAUUUUAAUUUUUAAUUUUUUUUAUUAUAUUAUAUUUCAGAUCAAGGUGUAGUUUAUAUAAAAGUUAAAAUGGGUUACUAUGAAUUUAUUUUUAGUUUUAUUUUUUAAAAUUUUAAUUAAAUCGGAUUUGAGAGUAAAUUUUUUAUCAUUGAGAAUUGAUUUAGCUCUAAAAUAUGCACAUAUCGCCCGUCGCUUUCAUUUUAAGAUGAAAUAAGUCGUAACAAAGUAGGCUUAUUGGAAAAUGAGCCUGGAAUGAUCAAA
rnacentral:ncRNA from 1 species